rnacentral:rRNA from 1 species
GACAGAGGGUGCAAACGUUGCUCGGAAUCACUGGGCGUAAAGGGCGUGUAGGCGGGAGGGAAAGUCAGAUGUGAAAUCCCCAGGCUCAACCUGGGAACUGCAUUUGUGACUGCAAGGCUAGAGUACGGCAGAGGGGGAUGGAAUUCCGCGUGUAGCAGUGAAAUGCGUAGAUAUGCGGAGGAACACCGAUGGCGAAGGCAAUCCCCUGGACCUGUACUGACGCUCAUGCACGAAAGCGUGGGGAGCAAACAGG